UAGGUACUCCCUCCGUCCGGAAUUAGUUGACGCUCAAAUGGAUGUACGUGGACGUAUUUCAGUUCUAGAUACAUCCGUUUGAGCGUCAACUAAUUCCGGACGGAGGGAGUAAUAU
rfam:Triticum aestivum genome assembly, contig: Triticum_aestivum_CS42_TGACv1_scaffold_327911_4BS